rnacentral:rRNA from 1 species
AUUGAACGCUGGCGGCAUGCUUUACACAUGCAAGUCGAACGGCAGCGCGGGCUUCGGCCUGGCGGCGAGUGGCGAACGGGUGAGUAAUGCAUCGGAACGUGCCCAGUAGUGGGGGAUAGCCCGGCGAAAGCCGGAUUAAUACCGCAUACGACCUGAGGGUGAAAGCGGGGGACCGAAAGGCCUCGCGCUAUUGGAGCGGCCGAUGUCGGAUUAGCUAGUUGGUGGGGUAAAGGCUUACCAAGGCGACGAUCCGUAGCUGGUCUGAGAGGACGACCAGCCACACUGGGACUGGGCCACGGCCCAGACUCCUACGGGAGGCAGCAGUGGGGAAUUUUGGACAAUGGGGGCAACCCUGAUCCAGCCAUGCCGCGUGCGGGAAGUAGGCCUUCGGGUUGUAAACCGCUUUUGUUCGGGAAGAAAUCCUCUGGGCUAAUACCCCGGGGGGAUGACGGUACCGGAAGAAUAAGCACCGGCUAACUACGUG